rnacentral:rRNA from 1 species
AACGUAGGACGCAAGCGUUGUCCGGAGUUACUGGGCGUAAAGCGCGGGCAGGCGGCUCGAAACGUCUGCUGUGAAAUCUCCUCGCUCAACGGGGAGAGGCCAUUGGAAACGGUCGAGCUGGAGGGCAGUAGAGGUAGGCGGAAUUCCGGGUGGAGUGGUGAAAUGCGUAGAGAUCCGGAGGAACACCAGAGGCGAAGGCGGCCUACUGGGCUGCACCUGACGCUGAGCCGCGAAAGCCAGGGGAGCGAACGGG